rnacentral:tRNA from 1 species
GGGCCCGUAGCUCAGCCUGGAUAGAGCGGCAGUCUAUUCAUGGGCCGAUCCCCCUAUGCCCUGGAGCGGGUUGAGCUGUAGGUCCGGGGUUCGAAUCCCCGCGGGCCCGCCA